GACGUAGGGGGGCGAGCGUUGUCCGGAUUUAUUGGGCGUAAAGAGCUCGUAGGCGGCUCAGAAAGUCGGGUGUGAAACCUCCAGGCUCAACCUGGAGACGCCACCUGAUACUGCUGUGGCUAGAGUCCGGUAGGGGAACACGGAAUACCCGGUGUAGCGGUGAAAUGCUUAGAUAUCGGGUGGAACACCAGUGGCGAAGGCGGUGUUCUGGGCCGGAACUGACGCUGAGGCACGAAGGCCAGGGGAGCAAACGGG
rnacentral:rRNA from 1 species